GAUCAUGGCUCAGGACGAACGCUGGCGGCGUGCUUAACACAUGCAAGUCGAACGAGAAUCUGUGGAAAGAGGAUUCGUCCAAUUGAAGCAGAGGACAGUGGCGGACGGGUGAGUAACGCGUGAGGAACCUGCCUUUCAGAGGGGGACAACAGUUGGAAACGACUGCUAAUACCGCAUGACACAUCGGAGUCGCAUGGCUCUGAUGUCAAAGAUUUAUCGCUGAAAG
rnacentral:rRNA from 1 species